GUGAGUCAUCGAAUCUUUGAACGCAUAUUGCGCUGGCGGCUUCGGCCAACAGCAUGUCUGCCUCAGCGUCGGGUUAAUAUCGCCCCCCACUUCCCGCAAAUUAUUUGCGGAGAGCGGGGGAGAGGAGCUGGUCGUUCCACACGCCAAGUCUAUCGACUUGGCUUGGAUCGACUGAAAAACAGAGGUUAGCUCAAGGACCCGUUACGGGCCGCAACUGGGUAGGCACUGCGCUUAACGGCGCAUUUGCUCUCGAGUUGUUGGCUUGGGACCUGUGGCUCGGCCCUCCCCUCAGGAAAUUAA
rnacentral:misc_RNA from 1 species